rnacentral:rRNA from 1 species
CCUACGGGUGGCAGCAGUAGGGAAUUUUCGGCAAUGGGGGGAACCCUGACCGAGCAACGCCGCGUGAGUGAAGAAGUUUUUCGGAAUGUAAAGCUCUGUUGUAAGGGAAGAAGAGAUAUGGAGGACCAUAUAGUGACGGUACCUUACGAGGAAGCCACGGCUAACUACGUGCCAGCAGCCGCGGUAAUACGUAGGUGGCGAGCGUUAUCCGGAAUUAUUGGGCGUAAAGGGUGCGUAGGCGGCCGACUAAGUUCAAGGUGAAAGCGUGGGGCUCAACCCCAUAAAGCCUUGGAUACUGGUUGGCUGGAGUACUGGAGAGGGUAGUGGAAUUCCAUGUGUAGCGGUAAAAUGCGUAGAUAUAUGGAGGAACACCGGAGGCGAAGGCGGCUACCUGGACAGUAACUGACGCUGAGGCACGAAAGCGUGGGGAGCGAAUAGGAUUAGAUACCCGUGUAGUC